AACAAAACCAUGUGGUUAGGAAAGUGGCGAGUUAGGCAUGUCUGGAAGGUAAUGGAAGUGGUCCAAUGGCCCACAUGUUAUAGAUAGAUUACGUAAAAAGGAAAAAAAAAAAAAGUGUGGUUCUAAUUUACUUAACUCUGGAUUGAUGGGUUUUUAUAAUUUCUUAAGCAUGAUUGACCCCCAAAAGAGUCUACUUAGAUUGAGACGUCUUUAUCUCCAGGCUGUUAUGCUUUUAGAUAUCUCAUAUCGAUAUCUACUUCACAUGGAUCUGUCUGAUGAUGACUUCAAGAGAUUGAUAAUAGCAGUGAUGCUGGUCGUCAGGAAGGAAAAAUGAAAUUCCAAACUAUCUGUCCAAUUCCAAAGAUGACUAGAUGAGAUGAGUCCAAGCCAAUUUGGGAGCUGAAUCACUUAGGCUUUCAUUUGUUUGAUUUUUUUCAAGGAUUUGGGUCUAUAUACCACAAAGUGACCUUUCUUGACCUCUGAUGAUGUGCUGCAACUGGUCGUGUCAAAAACAUCACCACUAGUUCUUAAGAAGGUGAUUCUUUUUCUCUUAAUGGCUGCAAUUUUUUGCCAUUUCCUUGCCAACUUUAUGAGUUUCUUUGCACUAAUCAUCUUGUUUGCUUUUGUAAAAUGAGAGAGAAUAUUAAGUAGGACAAGAGGAGGAAGUGAAUGUAAAGAUCUUAGGAAACUGAAAAGCUUUUGUUGGUGCUGAGCUGAUGAAAACGGGGAUUGGAUGAAUAUAUAUACACACAAACAGGCAUCCCAAAGGAAGUCCUUUGAAUGAAGCAACUCAAUGUAGGGACUUAAGGGAAGCAAAACCUGUUGAAAUAUGUAUAUAUCUUUUUAGGUAGAUAAAUCUUAUUUAGGUAGAUAAGUUUUAUUCAUAUUCUAGAAAUAUUUUUAUUUUAUGUUUUAGUAGUUUACUAGAAUAAGGGAACUAUUUUCUUUUAUGUUUUAGUAGUUUAUUAGAAUAAGGGAACUAUUUUCCCAAUUAGGAUUAGGACUCUUUUUUCUAUUUAAGUUCAAUUCUUUAGUUAAUAAAUAUAGAACAGUUUUAUUAAAA